rnacentral:rRNA from 1 species
GUGAGGAAUAUUGCGCAAUGGAGGCAACUCUGACGCAGCCAUGCCGCGUGCAGGAAGAAGGCGCUACGCGUUGUAAACUGCUUUUAACCGGGAAGAAACCCCAGGACGUGUCCUGGGUUGACGGUACCGGAGGAAUAAGCACCGGCUAACUUCGUGCCAGCAGCCGCGGUAAUACGAAGGGUGCAAGCGUUAUCCGGAUUCAUUGGGUUUAAAGGGUGCGUAGGCGGAGCGUUAAGUCAGUGGUGAAAUCCUGCAGCUUAACUGUUGACUUGCCAUUGAUACUGGCGCUCUUGAGUGCGCUUGAAGUGGGCGGAAUGUGCCGUGUAGCGGUGAAAUGCUUAGAUAUGGCACAGAACACCAAUUGCGAAGGCAGCUCACUAAGGCGAUACUGACGCUGAGGCACGAAAGCGUGGGGAUCGAACAGGAUUAGAAACCCGGGUAGUCC